CACUCUCUUUUUCAUGUUAUCCUGUUUUCGGUAUUUCUUUUAUAUAAUAUUUAGAAUUAUUCAUAAUUUUUUAACGUUUUAAUAUUUUUUAUCAACAACAAUAUCAACUAAAUUAACAAAAGUAAAAAAUAAUAGCACAGAACUUUGGAAAGCAAGAAUUAUAAAUGAUGACUGUAGAGCCCAAUUUUUGCCCGGGCCCAGUGCCAAAAUAAAACAAAAUAAAUAAAACAACAGUAGCCCAAAUCUGACCAACCCAAUUCUUGACCCACUACCUAAAAAUUAACCCAGCAAGCCCAAAUUAGCCCUAGCCCAAAACUAAGAAACUUUUCAGCCAAGGGAAACCCUAGGUGCGCCGCACCUAGGUCUGACCCCUAGCCGCCAGCCUCGUGCACGUUGCCUCUGCUACCAAUCGCCACUCGCGCACGCCACCGGCCUCCAUCGCGCAUGCUACCACCACGCGUCUGACACCCCUAUCACCUGCAACAUAUAGCAAACAACACACAAGCACUAGAAGACAACUGAAACAACAAAAAAUAGAAGUUCAGCAGUUUUAAAGAUUUGGCUAUAUAAGCCGAACACAGCCAUUGUAAUCUUCUUCCUUUUUUACGAACGCACAUUAGAAAAUAGAAAGUCAGAAAUUGAAAUUCUAAAGGUUGUUUUUUUUAGAACUGUUCUUUCGUUUUUUUAUAUAGUCUUUUUAUUAUUCUCUUUUUUCUUUAUUAAUCUAUCUUAAAACACUAAGUAAAGAUAAGGAAAAAGAGGAAAGAAAUACCUGAAUCAGCCCCUGAAGCCGUCGUCGUCGUCGGCCCUUCGCCGUCGUCGGACGCGAGUUUAGAAAGGGGUAGAGGCGUUCCAUUUUCCCCUCUUUUCCCGGUUUUGGAGCCUUGGCCUCUGAACGCGCUCCAAAGCGCUGGUGGGAGACGCCCUCGCAUGGCUCCGGCCACCAAGCGGUGAGGAGGGACGACGGCGGCUGGGCCUGGAACCCAAGCAUAAAAGGGGAAACCUCCCUUUUGUUUUUUCAGUUUUCUUUGCAAGAGAGUGAAACGGCAGAGGGAGUAAAAAUUUUUGCUUUUAUUGUGAUGAAAACGGCGCCGUUUAAAGGGGAGACCUGCGCACUUUGCCCUAGUGGGUUAUUUGUGCUUUUGGUCCCUUUAAUUCUGCGACACGUUCCAUGUAGCCUUUCAAUUCUUUUAAUUUUGGCCGCAUAAUUUUUCGUCCGCUCCAAUUUAGUCCGCUCAUAAAUGCUGCGCU
rnacentral:lncRNA from 1 species